rnacentral:rRNA from 1 species
AGAGUUUGAUCCUGGCUCAGGACGAACGCUGGCGGCGCGCCUAACACAUGCAAGUCGAGCGAGAGAUGAGGAGCUUGCUCUUCAAAUCGAGUGGCGAACGGGUGAGUAACGCGUGAGGAACCUGCCUCAAAGAGGGGGACAACAGUUGGAAACGACUGCUAAUACCGCAUAAGCCCACGGCUCGGCAUCGAGCAGGGGGAAAAGGAGCAAUCCGCUUUGAGAUGGCCUCGGCGUCCGAUUAGCUAGUUGGUGAGGUAACGGCCCGACCAAGGCGACGAUCGGUAGCCGGACUGGAGAGGUUGAACGGCCACCAUUGGGACUGAGACACGGCCCAGACUCCUACGGGAGGCAGCA